AAGGGUAACAUAAAAACUUCAAUAAGUAUUAUUUGACUUUAUUACGAUCUACAAUUUUUAUAAAUUUUAUCUUUUUUUUAAUUUAUUCGUAAUUUAGCCUAUUUACAGUGAUUCCAAGGUGGGACUGGUGUGAAAAUAUAAUGUCUUUUGAAUGAAUGACGUUUUAAUGAACUAUAUAAUUGGAACAGAUAUAUUUUAAGGCAUUAAAAUCAAAAUAAGGUCAAUUUAGGGAAAGAUAUAAUAUGAAAUUUAUUAUAAAAGACGGUCAUAUGACUCUUGUUGUCUUCGCCAUAUUGACCUAUAUUAACAUCCAAUUAUAUAGUACAUUAAAACUGUUUUAAAAUUGAUGCAUGUGGAUUUUAUACGCGAAAAUGACAUAGCUGUCAAAAACCUUAAAUAUACAAUUCUUAGCCUGACAGAUUUUAUUUAAUUCCGAUAACCGUAGGUAUAGACAACCAAUUUGACUCCCAGACCACUAUAGAACCUUGUCGCUUUAAUUACUAGAUACAUAUAUACAUGACAUACAUAUGACAUCUGUUCAUCACUCGUUUUUGGCGCUCCAAUAUCAAGUCCAAUAUCAAGUCAGAUUUUUGGCGCGAGGCUUAAAAGUGAAGUUUAUGCUUCCGAUAUAGCCCACAAGAUGGCAGAACCUACUAUGCACAAGAAAACUUACGAGAACUAGAUGGUAGCACUUGCUUUGACAAUGUACAUGUUUAUGUUUCCGAUUCAGGCCACAAGAUGGCAGACCCUGCAACACGCACGUAUAAGCAAUUGAUUCAAUAUGACAUGGUUCUACAGUGGCCUUGGAAGCAAAGUGGUUGACUGUACACAUAGUGUUACAAUUCAUUUCAAAAGUGCGGGUAGUAGUCAAUUUGAGUAAAUCUGUCAGAUUAAAAUAACAAUUUAUAAUUUAGACACAUUUAUAAGUAGAAAAGCGAAUUACAAAACGAAUCAGAUCUAAUUAUAAUAGAAAAAAUAUAAUUUCCUAGAAUUCGUAUAAAAUGUCAAUGUUUAUUUAUGUCAAUUUCAUAUUUUUAUAUUUUUUUAGUCAGUAUGUUUAUAUAUUUUUUUUGUUUUAAUGAAAAAUCUGGUUGCACUUUAACUUGGCCAAAAUGUGUCGAAGUCUAGUCAAAGGUCCCACUUUGUCGGUUACCAUAAGGACGAGAUUUGCUUGUAUCUUAUACGAAUAACCU